rnacentral:rRNA from 1 species
GACGAACGCUGGCGGCGUGCCUAAUACAUGCAAGUAGAACGCACAGUUUAUACCGUAGCUUGCUACACCAUAGACUGUGAGUUGCGAACGGGUGAGUAACGCGUAGGUAACCUGCCUGGUAGCGGGGGAUAACUAUUGGAAACGAUAGCUAAUACCGCAUAAUAUUAAUUAUUGCAUGAUAAUUAAUUGAAAGGUGCAAUUGCACCACUACCAGAUGGACCUGCGUUGUAUUAGCUAGUAGGUGAGGUAACGGCUCACCUAGGCGACGAUACAUAGCCGACCUGAGAGGGUGAUCGGCCACACUGGGACUGAGACACGGCCCAGACGCCUACGGGAGGCAGCAGUAGGGAAUCUUCGGCAAUGGACGAAAGUCUGACCGAGCAACGCCGCGUGAGUGAAGAAGGUUGUCGGAUCGUAAAGCUCUGUUGUAAGAGAAGAACGGGUGUGAGAGUGGAAAGUUCACACUGUGACGGUAUCUUAACAGAAAGGGACGGCUAACUACGUG